rnacentral:lncRNA from 7 species
GAUCUUCCUAUAUUUUGAAAAUAUGAGUAAUUUAGCUUUUCUCAUGUCCAGACCUAGUGAUGUCAAAAUUUUACAGAUUUUAAUUUAAACAAAACCAGUGAAUACCUGUUGAAUUCACAUCAGAAAUCUUGCAUUUGGACUGCCAUGACUCUAAAAGCUUUCUCAAAUGGUGAAAUUAUUACUACUUAUAACUGUAAGAAAUUCUGUUGAUUUCCUGUUAUUCUGCAGAACUAGUAAUUGACUCUAUUCCACUCAAGGAAGAAAGAACAGUGUUUUUCGGCUUUGACCUGGCAUUUGGCAGAAGUACAAAACUCAACCAGAUGCAGCAACUGGCAGUGAAGGAGGGCAAAUCAGCCUUGGUCAUCGAGUCUGGAGAGGUCAUAUCAAUACAGGUCGUAUCAAAAUAUUCCAGUUUCAAAACAAAGUGGGAAAAAGUAAUGAAAGGAGUAAAUGUAAGUACUAAGUAGAAAGUGGUAUUUCUGCCCUGGAAAGAUGCUUCAGAUUUCCUAAGUAUUCCUAGGAGGGACAAAAUAUAUAUAUUUUUUUGUUUACAUGUGAGAGCACAAAAAUGUAGAUGUAGUACUACCAGGAAGUAGAUUUCAGAUGAAAUACUGAUUCCACUCUAAAAGCUUCUGCAUGGCAGAUGUCUGCAUGACAGAUCAUCAUAAUCCUGAAUGGAGAGGAUCUUUCUCAGUCUGCUUGUUUGAGGAUAACAAGUUAAUUCCCCAUCAGAAAAUGAGCCUGCCCACAUGUCAUCUAUCUAAACAAAGAGGGUGACUCUGGCAAACAGAAGAUACCUAGACUUCAGCCAAAUUUGGAGGUUUUCAAGCAUCUUCCAAAAUUUGGAUCAUGAAAUGCUACUAUGCCACUGCUGUACACAGAUAAAUACAAAAGCUGUAUCUCCCACACCUUUGUUCCCUUUGUCUCUUCUUUGGAUUCAUCUUCCCUAUAUUUUUCAUAAGUCAUCUUCUUUUUGUCUGUCACUUUGUAAACUCCUUUCAUCUCUGCUUUUUACUCUCCAAAUCCAGUUUACCUGCGUCUUUUCCCAUUGAAAGUUUACAAUAUUUGAAAUAAUUUUACUUUGAGCCUAUCAAAGGAAUAAUUAUACCCAUCUUCAUGUAUAAAUAACCACAUAUGCAACUGGCUGAAGUACUAAAUUGCUGUAACUUGUACUUCUUUUAUAACACAUUGUCUUUUUUUCUGUGAUUGGCUGUAAUACAGUGUAAAAAACAAAAGUGUUAUUAUUUCUAUUAUUUUCCCCAAUUGUUUUUACUCUAUAUGACUUCUUUAUUGAAUCAAAAUUGAAUAUUUGUGUGGCCCUACCUAUCCCAAGGGGCAAAAUACCCUUUUCCCUUCAAUUAGAUUUAUUUGAAGGAAAUGUACCUGUCUUACCUCAAGGAAAACAGAAUAGUGAACAUCAUGGCUUGGUGGUGGGGUAGAAAGAUCUGUAAGUUUUUCCUUGGGAAACAGUCACGUCUGUGCUUGUGAGUACUGCCAUAGACACAUCAGUGCUAUACGCCUAGAGGACAAGAGAUGUCCUGUGUGGAACAGAUUCUUCAAUCUGAUUUACUUGAGUUCCAAAAUGAUAAAUAAAACUUUGUUUGAAAUGACACCAGCUGUGACAAUUCAUUAUAAAAAAUGAAUCAACUCAUUAGUUAUACUGAUGGACAAAACAUCAGUGUCAUUGUUUUUUUCCCAAGUCAGUAUGGAGAACAGAAGAGGUAUAUGAAAUCACCUCAGACUUAUACAAAUGCCUGUUAUGUAGAAUAACAAGCUGGAUGUCUAAACACGAGUUUGGAAUAAAAUAUUUCUAAGCUGAAGCAAUAGUUUGGGCAUUGUCCAGGUAUUGAUGUUUCAGCUUAAAAGCAUCUUUCAUGGGAAAAGAAUUGACUCUCUUUGCUGUUUGCCAGCAAGGCUUUAUGAGAGCUGCUCCCAUGUUUCACCUGGAAAAGGGGUCCACCCUUAGCCGUGUUGUCACCAGUUCAGCCCCGAACUCAAGCAGCCUACCCUCUGGCAGAAUAGAACCUGGACCUUUACAUCUUUCUGUCCUGGACAGAAGCAGCAGAGUUUAUCUUGUAACAGAAUUGUUUGACAAGUAAUGAUUCUGAAAAAUUAGUGGUCGUUUUGGCAUUUGAUUUAGAUUCAUAUUGGAAGACACUGAAAAUCUUUACUUUUUAUUAUUAUAUACUUUUUAUUGUAUUUUGUUUUAUUUUAUUACUUGGUGAUACCUAAGUAAAUAUAGAAAUCAUUAUAUCUGAGAGGAGGGCUCUGUAGCCUGCUGGAGAGUAUUACUUCAUACCAGUCACAGGAUAGCACAAUUGAUUCCCUACUCACUUUUAAUUUGGAGGAUCCUGACUGACACUGAAAAGCUGGCAUUAAGUCCUUGCCUGAAAAUAAAUCCUGAAUAUGGACUUGUGUCUC